UACGAAGGGGGCUAGCGUUGCUCGGAAUCACUGGGCGUAAAGGGUGCGUAGGCGGGUCUUUAAGUCAGGGGUGAAAUCCUGGAGCUCAACUCCAGAACUGCCUUUGAUACUGAAGAUCUUGAGUUCGGGAGAGGUGAGUGGAACUGCGAGUGUAGAGGUGAAAUUCGUAGAUAUUCGCAAGAACACCAGUGGCGAAGGCGGCUCACUGGCCCGGUACUGACGCUUAGGUGCGAAAGCGUGGGGAGCAAACAGG
rnacentral:rRNA from 1 species